AUAUUUGUUGCUUUAUUUCUCCUUAUCCCUGAUAUUGGCACUGAAUUCACUGCAUGGAUUCUUGAUGGAAGAUUAGAAAUCGGUCAACAACUAUUUAUUAGGUCAUUUCUAUGUGCCAGAGACUGUGCUGUAAAAAAUGGAUUUGAACUCUGGACUUCAAUCCCCACAAGCCCUUGCUCCAAUUACCCAAAAUGCUUUGUAAUAUCACUGAAUUCUCAGGUGGGCCGAGAUGGAGAAGGUAUUUAACCUGAUUGCAAAGGCUUUUGGGGGCUCUUUUGGACUUCCGUUUUGGAGCAGACGCAUCUCUUCCAUGAUGUGAGAUUAUCUUCUCUAGGCCUCUCUGGCCUAGGUACGUGUUUCUUAUCCUGUAUUUUCUUUAAUCCUUAAUCUUUAAUAAACCUCUAAAAAUAUAAUACUCCUUGGAGAGAGAAACUACUUCCUCUGUGCCUUCAGUCUCCUAAAUUUUAAUCUUUACAGCGCUAAGAUCUCAGUAAGCAAACAAUGUCAAAAACACACAUUUAUGCCCUCAAGAAGCUCACGGUCUAAUAGGGAAGACAACAUUUAGCAACCAUUCAGAAAUAAAUAAAUAUGGAGUAAUAGAAUUUGAGUUGUCUUCAAGCAAGUUAGAGAAAUGAAUAGUCAACAUGAGAAAAAAAUGUCAGGUAUCACCAAGAAGUUGAAAGAGGGAUUGGGGAAGAAUAGAAGAAGUCAGGAUGAGUGAGUUACCAACAAGAGUUAUGGCUGAUCAGAUUAUAGGCUGCAUCAUUAUAGUGCUGGGUGGUCCUGGGUCACCAACAUAAAUAUAGGUAUAGUUCAGAUUCUCUCUUUGACAUUCAGCAGGGCCAUGUUCCAGUAAAGGGUUCCUGUGGAGUUGCAGAUGGUCUCCUGGAGACACUGAGAGAUAGAACUCCACUCGGUCACCUCAUUCCAAGAACAAAGAAGUCCUUGAAUUCCCAAUGGCGUCAGAUACAAAGUUUUAGGCUGCUUUGUCGUGAUCAGUAUUCUCGUGUAGUCCAAAAUGGAAAGGGGCAUUUCAAAUCCCCAACCUCCCUGAAGCUGAGAUACUUUGCUACAUACAAGGCUGCAUCCCUCUGAAUCUCAGGGCUGGCCAAAGCAGACACCUAAAUCAUGACUGCUAUAAUUAGACUCUGCCUAGCCAAGACCACUGCAAAUACUUGUGUUGAUUCGCCUGGUCUCAGGCUUCACUGAGCAAAGCUUCUCUACCAGGUAGGGCACAUUUUUUCCCUUAAAAGUAGCAGAAAUGGGAGUAGCAGAAUGAUCAUGCCUUCCUCCCAUUUGGAGAUCCCUCAAAUGCCACAAUUUUCUUUCUCCCAUUACACAUUCAAGACCAUUUAUUUUCAGUGUUGCUGACUUCCUUUUUUACUGAAAGGUUUUAUGUAAAUUUUUCAGGUCCAAUUUUAGGUUUGGAGAAGAU
rnacentral:lncRNA from 1 species